rnacentral:lncRNA from 1 species
GGCACUCCACAGCCCGAGUAGAUGAAGGCUCACUAACUGGUGCUCAAUAACACUCCCUCGAGACUGUCGAUGGGUUAGGCUGAAGGGUCAUCUGUAUGCUCCAAUGAUUAAUUCAGUAUGACCAGAUAACAGUCAUCAACUGAUUACAUCCAGUCGACCAACUUUUCACUGCUGAACAAACCACGACUUUGAACUUUCCCACC